UCCUGCAUGACUGAAGAACUUAGUUCUCAUUAAAUUGCCCUCUCCUUUUACUUAUUAUAACCAGAAAUCAAUUGCCAGUUUUUUCAGUAACAGGCGAUAAUGGUUUUGCUGGCGUUAAUGAGAGCAGUGGGAACAGACAGCCGAGGGUGAAGGGAGGACAGUGCUGUUGUGGGGACAGCGUGAUGCAGGCACAGACAGUACACCUGCGAGAAAGUUACAUCCCAGGAGGGGCACAUAUGAAAAGAAAGAAGUAAGAAUGCCACAUGGUAUGAAAAAAACAAGAGUAGCAUUGACAGCAACUAGGUCAUUAGCAUCAGGAGAGGAGGGCAAGCACUCUGCCUAGUCUAACCACUUACCUAGUGUGGUUGUGUGAAAUGGUUAUAUUUGAGCUGAAACGGGAACACUGAGAAGGAGACAGCGCUGAGCAAGAACAAUUCCAGGCAGAGGAACCAGCAAGUUUGUCACGUUUUUCUAGGCAGAAGGUAGUCCAACAUGGCGAUGCAGAGUGAAUGAGGAGGUUAAUGGUAGGAGAUGAGAUCAAAGGGGUGGGCAGGAUGGUCUCGAUCUCCCAAAAUGGCCAGACCAUUUUGGGUCCUAUAGGCCUGGUAAGGGGACUGGAUCUACUAUGGCCACUGUGUGGCACAUGGGCUGUAAAGGACAAGAUUGAGAACCAAGAGACUGAACAAGAAGUUGUUUCUUCACCUGUACAAGUGUUGAUGGUGGAUGGGCUAGGCUAGUUGUGGUGAAAAAGACCACAUUCAGGACCUGUUUUGGAGAUAUGCCACUAAGACUUGCUAAUGAGGUGUAUAUGGGAAUGAGAGAAAGGGAAGAAUCAUCAGAGACUUCUAGACUUACGGCUUGAGCAAAUGAGUGAAUAGUGUUGCACUCAAAGAAGUUGGCGAAAUGAGCAGGGAGGGCAACAGGUUCCAGAGGAAAAGCAAGAACUUUAUUUUGGACACUUGGGGUUGAGACUCCUGUUAGACCCAGAAGGGAAGAUUGACAGACAACUCCAUGCUGUUUGGGAUCAGCCAGACUUGACAAAACAUGCUGACACACCAAUCACGUGUCACAACACCAGACUCACAGACAACAUUUUCAUGGACACUGAGCCACUUCUGCUUUUAUCCUGUCCUCCUCCACUUCUAGCCUUCAGACACUUGGUGCCUCCCUGAGGAUACACCAACACUUCAAGAACACAGAGUGCACCUGGAGUCGGCUGAGUAGUCCUGUGUCCUGAAAUAACUGCUCGACGUUCCCAGAGCCAGUAAAUGGGAUUUGGGACAUUUUUGUCAUGAAGUCACAAUGUGGGACUAUAAAUGUCUUGCCUUUAAGGGUAGGGUCUUCCCAUGACCCAUCCAUAACAUUUGUGAAAAUGUUGUGUGUUGUGCGUUUUGGAGAGAAGAAUUUUCAUUAUCUUCACAAAGGGAUCUGUUACCCUAAAAGAUUUAGAAUCACUCAGCUUAUUGGUAAGAUGUGCCUAUUCUUUUAGACUCCAGGUGAGGCUUGAUCUCCAGUCUCAAAAGGAAAUAUAUGAUGUCAUCAGACCCCUAGUAAGGUAUUUCUGAAUGUAUGAUAUCAUUUCCAUGUAACUCACCUUGCUAAGUCAUUUAGAUCCAACCGACCAUCUUUAUUUCUGUCAAAAAUCUUCAUCUGAAAUGCAGAAGGGAAAAUGGUUGUACUUGUAACAGGAACUAAUUCUGAACGUUAUUAAAGCACUUUUCUAUUUUGCUCUUCUGAUUACAUAUUUGCCUAAAUUGGCUGAGGAGCCCACUUGCCUGGGGGAAAAUUAGUAUUUGUCACAGAAGGAAUUGCAUGUCAGCCUCUCUGUUAGGAUGAGUCGUAGUAACCAAAUCUCCUAAAUCUCAGUGGCUUAACACAACACAGGUUUAUUUUUCACAGGGUUAGCUGGCAGCUCUACUUCAUGUUGUCUAUACUCUGGCGACAUGGAGUGACAAAGUAGUGACCAUCUGGCACAUUCCUGAUUGCCAUGGCAGAAAGAAAGAAUAAUAAAUAAUUUACUGAUUAAAAUUUUAUUGUCCAAAGCAGAUCCCUGGCCACAGCUACCUUCAAAGGGACAGAAUAAUACAAUCCUGCCAUGUGCUUAAGAGGAAAACUAAUUAUUUGGAGGAUAGCAGCAACGACUACCACAGUCUCUGACAGGCAAAACAGGAUUUUUAUAAAGAUUACAAGCUUGAAAUAUGGGUACUUGGUUUGAGUCAAGGUUUUCUGAAACUAUUUUAUUCUAGCCCUCAUUUAGCAUAUCAACCACCAAGGAGGGCUUGGAGGGCUCAUAUCAUAGGGUACUCUCAUAGGGUAUAGGAGAAACCUCAUGUUUCCGUGAAGGCAAAAGGUGUUGACACUGAGUCUUUCCUUUCAUAGAGAGACUUAGCAUUGUCCAAAGAAGUUGUUUACAUUAUUAGAUGAGACUAAACUUUAAACAAGAUAGGACUAAAAGUUAAAAGUUUCUGCACUAACCACAAAUUAGAAAGACCAGAUUGGUUUGGGCAAAAUAGAAGAGAGAGAUUUCUUUGCAGAUCUGAGUUGAAAUGUGAGUGAAUUUUGUGACUUUACAACAUUUUAAUGCUACAGAAUAUCUCUAAGCAUAUCCAUAUAAGGAGGCUGCACAGGGAAAAAGAGGGAGCGAGAUAAUCUGAAAAUACAUCCAACAGAUUUUUGCUUUAAAAAAUGCAUUAGUCCCCCAUCCUUCCUCUGUCUCCAAAUCCAGUUUAUUUUUAAUAUUUCAAAUGAAUUUGAAAACCUAUUCUCACCACUUUGGCACCAAAAAUGUGUAUUACAGAAUUAAAACACAGGUUACAUUUUUAUACAUUUGGACAUGUUACAUGUCCAAUUACGUCCCUUAAACAUAAACACUAUACAGUAUCCAGUAAAAAGUCUGAUGGGGAUAAACUUUGCCAGAAGAUGAGCCAUGAGUUAUUUUCUGUGACACCUUCAUUAUGAGAGGUUCUAUCUUAAUAGAAAGCUAGGUCAGCUUGAGCUCUAAGCAAGUAACAACUCACCUUGAAAGACGUGGGCCUAACUCCAUUGCUGUGCAAACUUACUCCAAGAGAAAACAAUCCUGUGCUCGAAAUUGGCCUGGGUUGAACUAAACACCAGUGUGGUAAAUUAUGCUUCUACCUAUCAGAAAAUUGGCUAUGGCUCACGUAAGAAUAAGAAUCAGGAAAAAAAUCAUUUGCCUAAUUUUUCCAUCUCUGAGUGUAUACCAGCAGGGAUGAAUGGCACACAUAUUCGGCUGUGUCUGCUCUUCUACUUUCCUGGGGCCUCUGUAGCUCUAAGUUCAAAUAUUAAUAAUGAGGGAAGCUUGCAGCAUGCCUGUAGCACCAGACUAGAAAUCAGAUCUUGUGUGACAUUAAGACAUUAUGCUUCUUUGCAAGUAUAACCUUUAGUGAAUUUUGAAUGCUUGGCAUAUUUGUUUGAGACAUAAUGGCUUCUUAAUUUUUAAACUAUAAUAAAGACCAUUUAUGAGGG
rnacentral:lncRNA from 10 species